rnacentral:rRNA from 1 species
AAUAGAUACCCUGGUAGUCCACGCCCUAAACGAUGAAUGCUAGUCGUCGGGGUACUCGUUACUUCGGUGAUGCACUUAACAGAUUAAGCAUUCCGCCUGGGGAGUACGGUCGCAAGAUUAAAACUCAAAGGAAUAGACGGGGACCCGCACAAGUGGUGGAGCAUGUGGUUUUAAUUCGAAGAUACACGAAGAACCUUACCUGGCCUUGACAUGGUAGGAACCCUUAAGAGAUUAGGGGGUGCUAGCUUGCUAGAACCUACACACAGGUGCUGCACGGCUGUCGUCAGCUCGUGUCGUGAGAUGUUGGGUUAAGUCCCGCAACGAGCGCAACCCUCGUCGUUAGUUGCUAACAGUUCGGCUGAGCACUCUAACGAGACUGCCUUCGCAAGGAGGAGGAAGGUGAGGACGACGUCAAGUCAUCAUGGCCCUUACGGCCAGGGCUACACACGUGCUACAAUGGGGGCGUACAAAGAGCUGCAAUACCGCGAGGUGGAGCCAAUCUCUUAAAGCGUCUCUCAGUUCGGAUUGUUCU